rnacentral:rRNA from 1 species
GAAGGUCAGGCUGAAGACCUUACCCGAUUAGCUGAGAGGUGGUGCAUGGCCGUCGUCAGUUCGUACUGUGAAGCAUCCUGUUAAGUCAGGCAACGAGCGAGACCCACGUCCACAGUUGCCAGCAUACCCUCCGGGGUGAUGGGUACACUGUGGAGACGCCGCUGCUAAAGCGGAGGAAGGAGUGGGCAACGGUAGGUCAGUAUGCCCCGAAUCUCCCGGGCUACACGCGGGCUACAAUGGUUGGUACAAUGGGUAUCUACCCCGAAAGGGGAAGGAAAUCUCUUAAAGCCAAUCGUAGUUCGGAUUGAGGGCUGCAACUCGCCCUCAUGAAGCUGGAAUCCGUAGUAAUCGCGUUUCAACAGAACGCGGUGAAUACGUCCCUGCUCCUU